GUAGGGAAUAUUGGGCAAUGGUCGGAAGACUGACCCAGCCAUGCCGCGUGCAGGAAGACGGCCCUCUGGGUUGUAAACUGCUUUUAUCUGGGAAGAAAAAGGCCAUGCGUGGCAAAUUGCCGGUACCAGAUGAAUAAGCACCGGCUAACUCCGUGCCAGCAGCCGCGGUAAUACGGAGGGUGCGAGCGUUGUCCGGAUUUAUUGGGUUUAAAGGGUGCGUAGGCGGCUGAUUAAGUCAGCGGUGAAAGACUUCGACUUAACCGGAGCAGUGCCGUUGAUACUGGUUGGCUUGAGUGUCGGAGGGGUACAUGGAAUUGAUGGUGUAGCGGUGAAAUGCAUAGAUACCAUCAGGAACACCGAUAGCGAAGGCAUUGUACUGGCCGACAACUGACGCUGAUGCACGAAAGUGUGGGGAUCGAACAGGAUUAGAAACCCGGGUAGUCC
rnacentral:rRNA from 1 species